UGAAUUAGAGAGAGAGUAGGAAAAAGAGAAAGGGGGACACCUUUUGAAGAGCACAAACUCUAUUGGAGAAUUAAGAAAAGUCAUUGUGAGAGAGAGAGAAAGAAAGGCUAAUAGGAGGGACAUGAGUUUGAAAAGGGAGAUAAGUUUGUUGUGAAAUUAUAUGCAAAACAAGAAUUAUAGUUUUGGCCAAGGUAUGAGCAAGUUGAAUUAGUCUUUGUUUUCUGUUGAAUGAGCAUGUGUUUAUAACUUUCUUUCUGUGAAAUUUUGUACGUGAGUGGGUGUAUGAUUUUGUAUUUAGGUAUUGGAUAUAUGGUUGUUGUCCAUUUUUUGUGUAUUCCUAUGCUUGACGUGCAUUUAAUUAAGGAUACGGUAUCUGUUGGAUGUGAUUAUUGUUUUGGAUGAUAAAUGCUUGUAAUAAUGUGAAUUAUGGGUUUAGACAUUGAUUCUUGUUUUGAAUUGUGAGUUCGGGGGUGAACAACUAGGUUAGUACCAUUCUUUUAGAAAUAAAGUGUCUUGUUUCUCAACAACAAGAGAGGGGUGAAUUGAUGAUUUAUAAAAACGAAUGCACAAUUAGUGUAAUCGAUUUACAAUAAAUGUUAGUCAAACAUAUUAAAAAAUAUGACCAUUAAUACUGUUAUGUCUUAGCUUGAAAACAAUUUUCAAAUAAUAACAGACUUAAUUGAUUACAUAAACAUUGUAAUCGAUUAAGUUUUUCACUUAGACGGAUUUUUGAAAACUUUUUCUCUUUAAAACUCAUCACAACACAUUUUAACAAGAUGUUUGCAAAGAUACGAGUUUUAAUCGAUUUAACACUUAAUGUGAUCGAUUCAAAACUUAUUGUUUUGUCAUAGUUUAAAACACAAGUUGUCUGAUGAAAUUAAUUGAU
rnacentral:lncRNA from 1 species